UACGUAGGGACCAAGCGUUGUUCGGAUUUACUGGCGUAAAGGGCGCGUAGGCGGCUUAACAAGUCACUUGUGAAAUCUCCGGGCUUAACUCGGAACGGCCAAGUGAAACUGUCAAGCUAGAGUGCAGAAGGGGCAAUCGGAAGUUCUGGUGUAGCGGUGAAAUGACGUAGAUAUCAAGAGGAACACCUGAGGUGAAGACGGGUUGCUGGGCUGACACUGACGCUGAGGCGCGAAAGCCAGGGAGCAAACGGG
rnacentral:rRNA from 1 species